GGCUGGCUCAGUUGGUAGAGCAUCUGACCCUUAAUCUGGGGGGUGUGAGUUUGAGCCUCACACUGCCU
rnacentral:tRNA from 1 species